rnacentral:piRNA from 1 species
UAAAAAUGUGUAAGUGGCGUA